UAAUCUAUUACAUUUAUAUAAAUUGGAAGUGAAUGCUAUAUAUGACUCUCUAAUUAUUUAAUCUAAUAGCUUGAUCGAAAUGGAGUCGAACCUAGCCCAAUAGAGUGUUGGAGGAAGUUCCAUGUAAGUAAAGCAAAUGACGGAAAAGAAGAACAUUGGAAAAGUGACAAGGCUAGGGAAAUUUAUGAUGAUCUUACUGAAAAAAAGAAUAGAGUGGAAGAGGUGUUUGGUGAAGCUGAUGAUUGGGAAAUAUAUCAGAAAGUGAUUGGUGGGCCUAGUCAUGGUCGUGUACUUGGUUUAGGUGCUGGGGUGAAACUAAAAGAUUACACUUCACCUAACCAAACUUGUAAUAAGCCUACAUGUUUGGAACAAAAAGAAGAUUAUGAAAGAGUGAAAGGCCAAGUUGAAUCUCUGACAGAUAAAUUGGACAAGUUGACUCAAAUUGUUCAAAGUUUGCUGCCUAAUACCUCAGACAAUUCUAAAGCAAGAAACUCACAUUCUGUGGACAAUAUUGCAACAGAUUCAAGUGCACAUCAUGAUGAAGAUGGUACUGAUGAAGAUGGUGAUGAAGAUGUUGCUGGUGAAUAUGAUGCAAACUCUAAUGAGGACUUUUAUUAGAUAUAUUGUUAGCUUCCUUGCUUAAGAAAUGAUUAUAUCUUUGUUUGAACAUGUAUGAAUGAUUAACUA